rnacentral:rRNA from 1 species
GACGUAGGGCGCGAGCGUUGUCCGGAAUUAUUGGGCGUAAAGGGCUCGUAGGCGGUUUGUCGCGUCGGGAGUGAAAACCUCGGGCUUAACUCGGGGCUUGCUUUCGAUACGGGCAGACUGGAGGUAUGCAGGGGAGAACGGAAUUCCUGGUGUAGCGGUGAAAUGCGCAGAUAUCAGGAGGAACACCAAUUGCGAAGGCAGCUCGCUGGGACGUAACUGACGCUGAGACGCGAAAGCGUGGGGAGCAAACAGG